ACAGCUGGAAAAGUUUGGUGUCCCAAUACUUUUCUCCAUAUCUGUAUCUGUAGUGCGUUUGGUAGAACGGCUGUUGUGAAGGAUAUCUCCGAGCUCAGCUGGUUCUAAUUGCGCCUGCUGCUUGACACCAUGCACCUUGUUCCGUAACGGGCUGGUUUCUCCAUACGUGAUCAGCUCACGGCCAGCUCCUUCAUUUACCCCUCACUCUCACUCCACCCCACCUCUUUUAAACCUCCUCCCACUCCAUGGACUGCCUGUAUAAAUACAUGUCUUCUCACACAUUCUUUUUUCUUAUUUGGAUUACAACAACGUUUCUUCGCUCACCAAGUCUCCAGUAGUUUGUCUUUUCUUCCUAGCCAACACCUAGACACCAGAGAUGCCCGAGUCUGUAGAUGUUCCUGCUCAAUGCCAAAUCCUUAAAGACGAGAUGGACAAAUGUGUCCAAGGGAAGGGUGCUGAAGCCUGUAAGGAUUUAAUGGAAGCUUUCGAGGCCUGUGUGAAAAGUGCAGUGGAAACUUCAUGAGAAGGAAAGCGUCACGCUCAGGUCGCCUUUCUUCAGGGCGGGAUCUCUGCAUUCCUUUCUGGGUUUCCUUCGUCGGACUGAACCAUUACAAAUAUUUGGCCAAAAGUCAGGGGUCUACAAGAGGAUAAAUUCUUGAGUUUGCCCUGUCUGGAUCAGAAAUGGCACUACAAUCGCUCAGAAUUUAUUGUCAUUGUCCUAAAGCAGCAUGGGCCCACAGGAUUUCUAUUAUAUAUUUAAAAAAAUGUAUCUCAUAUUAUUGAUUUU